rnacentral:rRNA from 1 species
UACGUAGGGUGCAAGCGUUGUCCGGAAUUAUUGGGCGUAAAGAGCUCGUAGGCGGUCUGUCGCGUCUGCUGUGAAAACUCGGGGCUUAACCCCGGGCCUGCAGUGGGUACGGGCAGACUAGAGUGCGGUAGGGGAGACUGGAAUUCCUGGUGUAGCGGUGAAAUGCGCAGAUAUCAGGAGGAACACCGGUGGCGAAGGCGGGUCUCUGGGCCGUAACUGACGCUGAGGCGCGAAAGCGUGGGGAGCGAACGGG